UACAGAGGUCUCAAGCGUUGUUCGGAUUUAUUGGGCGUAAAGAGCGUGUAGGCGGCCAAGCAGGUCCGCUGUGAAAAACUCGAGGCUCAACCUCGAGACGUCGGUGGAAACCGUAUGGCUAGAGUCCGGAAGAGGAGAGUGGAAUUCCUGGUGUAGCGGUGAAAUGCGCAGAUAUCAGGAAGAACACCCGUGGCGAAGGCGGCUCUCUGGGGACGGUACUGACGCUGAGGUGCGAAAAGCGUGGGGGAGCAAACAGG
rnacentral:rRNA from 1 species